UACGUAGGGGGCAAGCGUUGUCCGGAUUUAUUGGGCGUAAAGAGCGUGUAGGCGGUUUGGUAGGUCCGCUGUGAAAACUCGAGGCUCAACCUCGAGACGCCGGUGGAAACCAUCAGACUAGAGUCCGGAAGAGGAGAGUGGAAUUCCUGGUGUAGCGGUGAAAUGCGCAGAUAUCAGGAGGAACACCGAUGGCGAAGGCAGGUCUCUGGGCCGAUACUGACGCUGAGGAGCGAAAGCGUGGGGAGCGAACAGG
rnacentral:rRNA from 1 species